rnacentral:rRNA from 1 species
GCCUAAAACCUAGCCCACGCACGCGCACAAAAACAUUCACACACACACAUUUACACACAAAAGCAUUUCCUCUUUCAGAGUAGUGGUGAACAAAAACCUUCUUGGAGCUAAAGAUUGAGUACCGUAAGGGAAUGGUGAAAUAGAGCUGAAAUAGAGUUAAAGCUACUAAAAGCAGAGUCAGCUCUCGUACCUUUUGCAUCAUGGUCUAACUAGUAAAUUAGAGCAUAAUAAGCCUUUUAGUUCUACAUCCCGAAACUAGGCGAGCUACUUCGAGAUAGCUACCCUGAGCGAACCCGUCUCUGUUGCAAAAGAGUGGGAAAAUCUCCAAGUAGCGGCGAUAUACCUAUCGAGCUUAGAGAUAGCUGGUUAUUCAGGAAAAGAAUUUUAGUUCUACUUUAAGACUGUAAAAUUUUAUAAAACAUAAAACCCAGCUUAAAAGCUAUUCAAAUAGGGCACAGCUUAUUUGAACAAGGACACAGCCUAUUAAAUAGGGUAAUUCCCCCCCCCCCCCAAAAAAAAAUAAGUGGGCCUAACAGCAGCCACCUUUGAAACCGCGUCAAAGCAUCAUUUUUUCCGAUACAUAAUCCCACUAACCUCUUCCCAACCCUUUAUUAUUACUGAAUGAUUUUAUACAACUAUAAAACACCUUCUGUUAGAACUAGUAACAAGAAGUCGACCUUCUCCUAAAUACAAACUUAAACCAGAUUUGACAAGCUGCUGGUAUUUAACGCAAAUGAUUAAAUCUGCUCGCGUUACCCUGACACUAGUGUAUUAAAGGAAAGAUUAAAAGACAGAAAAGGAACUCGGCAAAUACUCUAGCCCCGCCUGUUUACCAAAAACAUCGCCUCCUGAUAAACAAACAUAGGAGGUCCAGCCUGCCCGGUGACAACUUAAACGGCCUCGGUACCCUGACCGCGCGAAGGUAGCGUAAUCACUUGUUCUUUAAAUAGGGACCUGUAUCAACGGCAUCACGAGGGCUAGACUGUCUCAUCUGUCUAAUCAGUGAACCUGAUCUCUUCGUGAAAAAGCGAAGAUUAAAAUAUAAGACAAGAAGACCCCAUGGAGCUUUAAACCUAACGAUACCUUCGUUUAUAAAAGCCUAAAAAAACAGGAAGCCUGUCGGCCCGUUUUAGGAUGGGGCAUCCGAGGAGUAUAGCCUAGCCUCCCCGACGUUAAAUUAUCUAAGACAUACAAGUCUAUGAAACAGAAAACUGACGUAAUGUGAUCCGCAAUCGAUCAACGAACCAAGUUACCCUGGGGAUAACAGCGCCAUCCACUUUGAGAGUUCCUAUCGACAAGUGGGUUUACGACCUCGAUGUUGGAUCAGGGUAUCCCAGUGGUGCAGCCGCUACUAAAGGUUCGUUUGUUCAACGAUUAAAACCCUACGUGAUCUGAGUUCAGACCGGAGUAAUCCAGGUCGGUUUAUAUCUAUAAAGCACUACUUCUAGUACGAAAGGAUCGAAGUAGUAUGGCCAAUCUUAUAAAUACGCCAUCUUUCCUACUAAUGAUUUUAACUCAAUUAGUGUUACAACUCCUAUUAUGCCUUAGAACAGGGUUAACCUCAGGAUAGCACACUGCACAAAACACUUUAAUGG